UACGAAAGGUGCGAGCGUUAAUCGGAAUUACUGGGCGUAAAGCGUGCGUAGGCGGCUAUUUAAGUCGGAUGUGAAAGCCCCGGGCUCAACCUGGGAGGUGCAUCCGAUACUGGGUAGCUAGAGUGUAGUAGAGGGAGGUGGAAUUUCCGGUGUAGCGGUGAAAUGCGUAGAUAUCGGAAGGAACACCAGUGGCGAAGGCGGCUUACUGGCCUAAUACUGACACUGAGGCACGAAAGCGUGGGGAGCAAACAGG
rnacentral:rRNA from 1 species